AUUGAACGCUGGCGGCAUGCUUUACACAUGCAAGUCGAACGGUAACAGGCCGCAAGGUGCUGACGAGUGGCGAACGGGUGAGUAAUGCAUCGGAACGUGCCCAGUCGUGGGGGAUAACGCAGCGGAAGUUGCGCUAAUACCGCAUACGGUCUAUGGAUGAAAGCGGGGGACCGUAAGGCCUCGCGCGAUUGGAGCGGCCGAUGUCAGAUUAGGUAGUUGGUGGGGUAAAGGCUCACCAAGCCGACGAUCUGUAGCUGGUCUGAGAGGACGACCAGCCACACUGGGACUGAGACACGGCCCAGACUCCUACGGGAGGCAGCAGUGGGGAAUUUUGGACAAUGGGCGCAAGCCUGAUCCAGCAAUGCCGCGUGCAGGAAGAAGGCCUUCGGGUUGUAAACUGCUUUUGUACGGAACGAAACGGUCCUGGUUAAUACCCGGGGCUAAUGACGGUACCGUAAGAAUAAGCACCGGCUAACUACGUGCCAGCAGCCGCGGUAAGAC
rnacentral:rRNA from 1 species